ensembl:lncRNA
UUACAUGCACAUGAUGAAGCAGGCAGACAGACUGAGAGCUCCUCUGAGACACUCUGUCUCACGGCCUAGUACACUAUCUCUGGGCUACGGCAGCACUGCAGAGACGUUUUCUGCAGUGAGCGUUCCAGCAGGCCGCCCAGGUCUGAUCCCAGGUCCUUUACCAGGUCAGUGACAUGGUCUGUUCCCAGGUCAAUGAUAUGGUCUGUUCCCAGGUCAAUGAUAUGGUCUGUUCCCAGGUCAGUGGCAUGGUCUGUUCCCAGGUCAGUGGCCAGGACUGUUCCAAGGUCAGUGACCAGGUCUAUUCCUUCAUCAGUGACCAGGUCUGUUCCCAGGUCAGUGGCCAGGACUGUUCCAAGGCAGCUUGGGCAGCUGUGGAAGUUGAGAGGGGAGUGAUGUCAGAGAAGAGGAUAGUGACAAGAUGGCCGUGGAACAGCCAGCACCAGACACUGAAGAAGGACAGCUCAUCACCGCUCAGGACGUAGCUCCCAUGCAUCUGAGGAAGGAAGAAGAGGGAAAUCGUAUACAAGCUGCUUAGACAGAUUAUCCCCGGUGCCGACUGCUGCUGGCAGUAGGGCAGAGCGCUCAGACCUGACCCUGACACUGGCAGGGCCCAUGCUACCAGACUGUAGCCCAGCAUGGCCCUGCAAUCCAGCCUGACCUGUGACUCCCGCUGCGAG